AUUGAACGCUGGCGGCAGGCCUAACACAUGCAAGUCGAGCGGAUGAAGGGAGCUUGCUCCUGGAUUCAGCGGCGGACGGGUGAGUAAUGCCUAGGAAUCUGCCUGGUAGUGGGGUAUAACGUCCGGAAACGGGCGCUAAUACCGCAUACGUCCUGAGGGAGAAAGGGGGGGAUCUUCGGACCUCACGCUAUCAGAUGAGCCUAGGUCGGAUUAGCUAGUUGGUGGGGUAAAGGCCUACCAAGGCGACGAUCCGUAACUGGUCUGAGAGGAUGAUCAGUCACACUGGAACUGAGACACGGUCCAGACUCCUACGGGAGGCAGCAGUGGGGAAUAUUGGACAAUGGGCGAAAGCCUGAUCCAGCCAUGCCGCGUGUGUGAAGAAGGUCUUCGGAUUGUAAAGCACUUUAAGUUGGGAGGAAGGGCAGUAAGUUAAUACCUUGCUGUUUUGACGUUACCAACAGAAUAAGCACCGGCUAACUUCGUG
rnacentral:rRNA from 1 species